GCGAAAGUGGCGGAACGGUAGACGCGCUACUUUGAGGGGGUAGUGGGAGUCAUCCUGUGGGGGUUCAAGUCCCCCCUUUCGCA
rnacentral:tRNA from 1 species